rnacentral:rRNA from 1 species
UGGGGAAUAUUGGACAAUGGGCGCAAGCCUGAUCCAGCAAUGCCGCGUGUGUGAAGAAGGCCUUCGGGUUGUAAAGCACUUUUAUCAGGAGCGAAACGCUGUCGGCUAAUACCCGGCGGAACUGACGGUACCUGAGGAAUAAGCACCGGCUAACUUCGUGCCAGCAGCCGCGGUAAUACGAAGGGUGCAAGCGUUAAUCGGAAUUACUGGGCGUAAAGCGUGCGUAGGCGGUUUCUUAAGUCUGCUGUGAAAUCCCCGGGCUCAACCUGGGAAUGGCAGUGGAUACUGGGAGGCUAGAGUGUGUCAGAGGGUGGUGGAAUUCCCGGUGUAGCGGUGAAAUGCGUAGAGAUCGGGAGGAACAUCAGUGGCGAAGGCGGCCACCUGGGACAACACUGACGCUGAGGCACGAAAGCGUGGGGAGCAAACAGGAUUAGAUACCCUGGUAGUCCACGCCCUAAAGCGAUGCGAACUGGAUGUUGGUCUCAACUCGGAGAUCAGUGUCGAAGCUAACGCGUUAAGUUCGCCGCCUGGGGAGUACGGU